CACGUAGGAGGCGAGCGUUGUCCGGAAUCAUUGGGCGUAAAGAGCGCGCAGGCGGCUUGGCAAGUCGGGUGUGAAAUCCCGGGGCUCAACCCCGGGACUGCAUUCGAUACUGUCAGGCUAGAGGUAGGUAGGGGAGAUCGGAAUUCCUGGUGUAGCGGUGAAAUGCGCAGAUAUCAGGAGGAACACCGGUGGCGAAGGCGGAUCUCUGGGCCUUACCUGACGCUCAGGCGCGAAAGCGUGGGGAGCAAACAGG
rnacentral:rRNA from 1 species